rnacentral:rRNA from 1 species
GACGAACGCUGGCGGCGUGCUUAACACAUGCAAGUCGAGCGGUAAGGCCCUUUCUGGGGUACACGAGCGGCGAACGGGUGAGUAACACGUGGGUGACCUGCCCUUAGCUCUGGGAUAAGCCUGGGAAACUGGGUCUAAUACCGGAUAUGACUCCAUAACGCAUGUUGGUGGGGUGGAAAGCCUUGUGCGGCUAGGGAUGGGCCCGCGGCCUAUCAGCUUGGUUGGGUGGGGUGAUGGCCUACCAAGGCGACGACGGGUAGCCGGCCUGAGAGGGCGACCGGCCACACUGGGACUGAGACACGGCCCAGACUCCGUACGGGAGGCAGCAGGUGGGGAAUCUUGCGCAAUGGGCGAAAGCCUGACGCAGCGACGCCGCGGUGGGGAUGAC